CAAGAGAGAGACAAAUGAGACGGCGAACAGAGGAAGAAAGAAGGAGGAGACGGAAGAGGAGGGGGACAGAGAGAGAACGAAGAGGGGGAAGGAAGACUGCAUAGUCUAAACGAUCCAAUCUUCGUGCGGGUAGCAAAUUCGAAACCCACCAUCGUCGUUCUUGGAACCGUCGAUCGUGUACUGGCAUUUUGCAGAUAGAUCAUAAAUGGCGUCAAAACCAGUUGUUACACAGCAAGCUAGAGGUGCAGAAAUUGCCGGUGGGAGGGCAAUGGAAGAUCCCUUUGGGCAAUGGAAAUAAUCGGAAAGCACAUGGAGAUAUUGGGAGUUUGGUUCCUGUUCAAGUCAUCGAUGGGAAGCCGAAGCAAGAGUUCUCCCAUCCCCUGACGAGGAAAUAACACAAAAAAUAAAAAAUAAAUAAAAAAUCCUAUAUAAUGAAUCCUUUUUACCGUCAGAAACCAACUCCAAAAGUUGUUAAUGGAUCGGGGGAGAAGAAAGGAACUGUGCCAGCAAAACCAGCUCAGAAGAAGUUCAAUGCAAAGCCAAAGACAGAUAUAACAAGGGAGGUAGGCCAGGAGCAGAAAGAAGAUACAAGAAAGGAGAACAAUGCAAGCGAGAAAUCAUCAAGGCGUAAGGCUUAGACCCUCACAUCAGUCCUAACAGAUUGAAGCAAGGAUGCUUGUGGUCUAAUCAAUAAAUCAAGUGAUCCCAUUGUCAACAUUGACACACAAGAUGUAGACAAUUAUCUAGCCAUGGGUGACUAUGUGGAAGGCCUGUACAAGUUUUACAAGCUUGAGGAGGGUUCAAUUCUAUUCAGUGGCAGUAGAAAGCAAGUUGAAGGGAACUUACAAGAAAUAUACAGAUCCUGAAUAAGGCCAAAGAAGUGCAGGUCCUACGGUCUAAUGACACUUGGACCUUUCAACCAGUAUCAUUCGGUAAGUGUUCUUAAUCAGUAUCGUUUGGUAUGUUGGGUCUUGCUCUGAUACCACUUGUUGAAUCUCGAUAUUCUUUGUUGGGAAAAAUGAUAACUCAGUUUUCCACUUGUGUACGUCACUAAAGGAAAUUCGACUACACUAUUCAACACUAUUCAUGUGAACAAUACUUGUACGUGUCCCACUAACACUUGGACCUUCAAUCAGUCGCUCCGUAAGGUGUUUUUGGCUGCAAAGAUCUAAAAGGCAUGUUUACCCAUUAAGUGUCUUGCUCUGAUACCGCUUAUUGAGUCUCGAUACUCCUUGUUGGAAAAAAUGAUGAUACUCAAUUUUCUCACCUUUAUGUACGUCACCACUAUUCACGUGAAUAGUAUAUUCAUGAAUGUAACUGUGCAUGUCUUACUACAAUACAAAGUUACAAAAAACAUACUAGCAUUUUUAAGUGUUCUAUUGACUGCAGGUAUCUAAAAGGGCGUGUUUACUCACUAAGGGUUAUAUUUGGGUCUUGCUCUGAUACCGCUUGUUGAGUCUCGAAACUCUUUGCUGGAAAAAUGAUGACUCAGUUUUCCACUUGUGUGUACGUCAAUGAAGGAAAUUCGACUACACUAUUCAACACUAUUCAACCUAUGAAUAAUAAUUGUGCAUGUCCAACUACAGUACAAAGUUACAGAAAAUACUUGUGACAAACAGUUAUGGCCAAUGAAAUACAAGUCUUUGAGUCUAAUAACAAUUGGAUCUUCAACUAGUAUCGCUCAGUAAGGUGUUCUAUUGGUUGCAGGUAUCUAAAAGGCAUGUUUACUUGCUAGGGUCUUGUCUGAUACCCCUUGUUGAGUCUCGAUACUCCUUGUUGGAAAAAAUGAUGAAUCGAUUUUCUCACCUGUAUGUACGUCAUCACUAUUCACAUGAAUAGUAAUUAUGAAUAGUACACCCAUGAAUGUAAUUGUGCAUAUCCUAGUAUA